rnacentral:tRNA from 1 species
GGGGAUAUAGCUCAGCAGCACAGCGCUUGCCUGGCAAGCUUGAGAUCCUGAGUUUGAUCCCCAGUACUGCCA